rnacentral:snRNA from 1 species
AGCUUUGCGCAGUGGCAGUAUCGUAGCCAAUGAGGUUUAUCCGAGGCGCGAUUAUUGCUAAUUGAAAACUUUUCCUAAUGAAACAGCUACAUUUGCUCCCAGCAGAGUACCCUCUGUUGGGCCAGCAUUGCAUGUGUGCCCGUGUGAGUGUACA